GGUCUCACCGUGUAGUUCAGGCUGGCCUUGAGCUCACUUUGUAGCCCAGGCUGGUCUCGAACUUGCAAUGAUCCUCCUGCCUCAGCCUCCCGAGUGCUGGGAUUACAGGCAUGCGCCACCACGCCAG
rnacentral:miRNA from 1 species